rnacentral:rRNA from 1 species
UACAGAGGGGGCAAGCGUUGUCCGGAAUCACUGGGCGUAAAGGGCGCGUAGGCGGCCUGGUAAGUAGGGGGUGAAAUCUUGCGGCUCAACUGCAAGGCUGCCUCCUAAACUGCCGGGCUGGAGCACGGUAGAGGCAGAUGGAAUUCCCGGUGUAGCGGUGGAAUGCGUAGAGAUCGGGAAGAACAUCGGUGGCGAAGGCGGUCUGCUGGGCCGUUGCUGACGCUGAGGCGCGACAGCGUGGGGAGCAAACAGG